CGCUCACACACACACACACACACUGUCAGGGUCCCUGGGUCUGAGCGACCCAGGGACCCUGAGCAGUUAUGGACUAGUAUUAUAAUAUAUGUAUUUUGGUAUUGCUGUCCCUCGUUCUCCCUGCUUGUAGAUAUAUGUGUGUAUGUAGGUGUGUGUGUGUGUGUGGCCCUGGCAGGUGAUUGGCCACACCUGAAGACCGUGACACACCUGCAGCUGAUCAGGCCUCGUCGGAGGAGCUACUUGAGAGUGUGGUGGAGCUCUCUCCGACACUGGAUCAUUGCGUGGCUUCACGAGUAGCAGGGAGACGAGAGGACAGCGAGCACGGGGUGCUCGUCACGGAGAACCGGAGACAGGAACACGAGCACUGGGAAGAGGACACGACACGGGAGAGUACGGGGAUUUACUGUUAUUGUUCCACUCACUGUAAAUAAAUGCACUGCUGAUACACAGAGCACAGGGUCCCUGGGUCGCUCAGACCCAGGACCCUGACACACACACAAAUAAAUAAAAAAAACAUCAGGCUUCAAUGAAUCAAAAUGGUUGCUGACUCGGGCAUAUGUUGCGAUGAUAAGAGCAGAGCACAAAGUGAGAAAAUGAAUCUUAACCUAGACCAGGCAUAGUCUUUUGUUGGAUCUCUGGUUGAAGGCCAUACAUAAUAAAAACAUGACGCCAUCACCAGUUCUCAAUGUAAACGGGUUUUACGUUGAUAAAACCCUACAGAGGGACAUCAGGUUCCAACUGUGCUUUCUGGAGAGUGCAGAUAGUAGAGAAGGAAAAGAUGAAGUGGAUAUUGAGGUUUACAGAAAACCAUUUACACAGAUCACUACCUGCUGUCAGAUUCACACCAUCUGAUUGAGCUCAAACUGGAAGUAAUCUGGACCCAACUCCACUGGCAGUGACCGUAUCAACAAACAUAACAGUUGCCUAAAACUCAAGUAACAUCCAGCUUUGCAAGCCUGGAGUUACACUCACUGAGCUUUCAUUAAAAAGCAUAAAGCAUCCAAAAGGAGCUGGAGAAAAAUAAGCAAGACAAAGCAGACCGUGGUGAGAGACGAACACAUUGUCUUUCAGUAUGUGGCUCUGUGGAUUUGGGCUUUUUCCCAAAUGCAAAAUUACUAUGGGUUUUUUUUCAGAAUUGGCAAUAUGCUGAGAUAAAGCCUGGUUAAACAUUACCAAGGAGGGGGACACCUGCACAUUAGUGAGUCUGAACAGAACACCCACAAACAAAUGCAAUUCUAGGCAGCCAUUUACACUAACGAACACAAUCCAACACAUUUACAGCUGCAAGGUCUCAAAUAAAAGAGCAAACUGAAGCUGUGCUGACCCAUGGACUCUUCAGCUCCCCUAUGCUAAGCUUCUCCUACAUGAUACAGUUCAUACAGGUUGUACAUCAAAUUUCCCAAAAAUAAUUUUUAUAUCAGAAAUGAUUAAAAAAAAUGCUAUUCUACAAAGAAAUAAAUUCAGGAACAAAGAUUGGGAACAUUUUGAUGAUUUAUCCUGUACUUUGGGGCAUGUACCAGUUUUGGAUUCAAUGAAAUCAUUUUCCUUUUCAUUUUCCUUCUUUAAAUUUCUUCCUUGGCUAGAUAAAUGUAGUAGUGGGCUGUGUGCGCUCAGGUGUUUGGAGCUGACCAAUAGGAGCAGACUUUGCAGGAUGUGUUGCUGAUCUGAAUUGCGGAGCGAGACCGGUUCGAGGGCUGAGGAUCCCAGAGAGUCAAGUCAAGGCUUUGCUAAACAAUGAGGAGUGAGGAGGCAAGGUGGGAUCAGGAGCCAGCCAUCGGGGCGAAUAGUAUACUGCCCAUAAAUAAACCAGCUAUACAUCUCCCCUCGGUGUCUAAUUGCUGCACCUAGCUGAGAAAUGGAACCAGCAGACACUUGUCAUUGAAUCCCUUACAGUGAGGACUGAUGCCAACUGGUCCUCUAGAUAAUGUGCUGCUAUCGGAUGCUGAGGACAUGCCUGGUCUGCUGACAGUACUGAGCCUGUUCACACUGUACACUCACAAGUCCCGACCUCCAAACGUAGCAAAUGUACUUUCAAGGGAGGUUUACCUCACAGAGGGAUUUUAAAGACUUUCCCAAGUUCUGAGAAUAAAAUGUGCUAUGUUCUUUUUUUUUAAGUCCUUGCAAAGUCAUUCUUUGGGGACUGAUAUUUUCCUAUCUCUUUACACUGUCUGAUACUCCCACAUGCAUCAAUCACGCAGAAACAGAACAUUUUCUGGUGUCAAAAGAGCUCUGUAAGCAGCAGUGCAAACGCAGAACUGAUGCUUAAAUGGAAUGCAGCAAAUUAGGUUGGGCUUGAUGAACUUGUAAACCUUUGAGCUUAGGCAGAAUUAACUUCAAGAGCUAUUUUUAUAAGGCUGAUACAUAAAGAAGCAUAAAAAAUUUGCUUUGAUCAGCUUGAUAUUAGCACAAGACUGUAUGUGAGGAAUACCAAUAAUGGUUUAAUAGGAUAUAGGAUAGGUUCAAUAGGAUUCCUAAAUAAAGCUAAAUAA